rnacentral:rRNA from 1 species
UACGAGUGCCCCGAGCGUUAUCCGGAAUUAUUGGGCGUAAAGCGUGUGUAGGUGGUCAUGUUAGUCUCCUGCGAAAUUCUUCGGCUUAACCGGGGCAUGAUGGGAGAAACGGCAUGACUUGAAGAUGCGAGGGGUGUGUGGAACUCUAAGUGUAGGGGUGAAAUCCGUUGAUAUUUAGGGGAACACCAAAAGCGAAGGCAGCACACUGGCGCAUUCUUGACACUGAGACACUAAAGCGUGGGUAGCGAAUGGG